rnacentral:rRNA from 1 species
AGAGUUUGAUCAUGGCUCAGAGCGAACGCUGGCGGCAGGCUUAACACAUGCAAGUCGAGCGGGCGUAGCAAUACGUCAGCGGCAGACGGGUGAGUAACGCGUGGGAACGUACCUUUUGGUUCGGAACAACCCAGGGAAACUUGGACUAAUACCGGAUAAGCCCUAACGGGGAAAGAUUUAUCGCCGAAAGAUCGGCCCGCGUCUGAUUAGCUAGUUGGUGAGGUAAUGGCUCACCAAGGCGACGAUCAGUAGCUGGUCUGAGAGGAUGAUCAGCCACAUUGGGACUGAGACACGGCCCAAACUCCUACGGGAGGCAGCAGUGGGGAAUAUUGGACAAUGGGCGCAAGCCUGAUCCAGCCAUGCCGCGUGAGUGAUGAAGGCCCUAGGGUUGUAAAGCUCUUUUGUGCGGGAAGAUAAUGACGGUACCGCAAGAAUAAGCCCCGGCUAACUUCGUGCCAGCAGCCGCGGUAAUACGAAGGGGGCUAGCGUUGCUCGGAAUCACUGGGCGUAAAGGGUGCGUAGGCGGGUCUUUAAGUCAGGGGUGAAAUCCUGGAGCUCAACUCCAGAACUGCCUUUGAUACUGAAGAUCUUGAGUUCGGGAGAGGUGAGUGGAACUGCGAGUGUAGAGGUGAAAUUCGUAGAUAUUCGCAAGAACACCAGUGGCGAAGGCGGCUCACUGGCCCGAUACUGACGCUGAGGCACGAAAGCGUGGGGAGCAAACAGGAUUAGAUACCCUGGUAGUCCACGCCGUAAACGAUGAAUGCCAGCCGUUAGUGGGUUUACUCACUAGUGGCGCAGCUAACGCUUUAAGCAUUCCGCCUGGGGAGUACGGUCGCAAGAUUAAAACUCAAGGAAUUGACAGGGGCCCGCACAAGCGGUGGAGCAUGUGGUUUAAUUCGACGCAACGCGCAGAACCUUACCAGCCCUUGACAUCCCGGUCGCGGACUCCAGAGACGGAGUUCUUCAG